GCAACCCCUAUCCUUAUUUGCCAGCGUUAUGGGGAACUCUAAGGAGACUGCCGGUGAUAAACCGGAGGAAGGUGGGGACGACGUCAAGUCAUCAUGGCCCUUAGGGUGGGCUACACACGUGCUACAAUGGCAAGUACAGAGGGCAGCAAUACCGCGAGGUGGAGCGAAUCCCACAAAGCUUGUCGUAGUCCGGAUUGGAGUCUGCAACUCGACUCCAUGAAGUCGGAAUCGCUAGUAAUCGUAGAUCAGAAUGCUACGGUGAAUACGUUCCCGGGCCUUGUACACACCGCCC
rnacentral:rRNA from 1 species